rnacentral:rRNA from 1 species
AACGAACGCUGGCGGCGUGCCUAACACAUGCAAGUCGAACGGGAAAGCCCGCAAGGGUGAGUACAGUGGCGCACGGGUGCGUAACACGUGGGUAAUCUGCCCUGGAGCCCGGAAUAACUCCCCGAAAGGGGUGCUAAUGCCGGAUAAGACCACGGGGACCUCGGUCCCUGCGGGAAAAGGUGGCCUCUGUAUACAAGCUAUCACUCCUGGAUGAGCCCGCGGCUCAUCAGCUAGUUGGCGGGGUAACGGCCCACCAAGGCUACGACGGGUAGCGGGUCUGAGAGGACGAUCAGCCACACUGGAACUGAGACACGGGCCAGACUCCUACGGGAGGCAGCAGUGGGGAAUCUUGCGCAAUGGGCGAAAGCCUGACGCAGCAACGCCGCGUGUGUGAUGAAGGUCUUCGGAUCGUAAAGCACUGUCGGGAGGGACGAAUAAGGGCCGGGUGAACAAUCCGGCUCGACGACGGUACCUCCAAAGGAAGCACCGGCUAACUCUGUGCCAGCAGCCGCGGUAACAC